AGGGCCAGGCUGAGGGCAGGCUGGGCAGGCCAGUGGGGUGGGGCCACCCCAGCAGGUUCUAGGGCCCAGACACAGCUCCAAGGAGGGGCUGACCUGCACCUGAGACCAGGACCCCCGCCUGCCCACGUUACUGAGGAGCCGCUUGCUGCCUGUCGCUGCCCCUGCCCCCGGGAUGCCCUGCCCCUGAACCUCAGAGGAGGCUGCUUUAACAGUGAUGGUGCCGUGACUCAGGUAAGAUCGGAUUCAUGGCUGGACUCCCGGACCUCUCACACCACGGCCCACGUGUACACCCCUGAAGAUUCGGCGCUCGCUCCCGUCUGACUGGGGAUCCAUUGGUGAGCCAACUCCUGAGCCAUGGCUCCGGGUGACAGUCCACUGAAGCAUG